CUGGAAGCUCGGACCCCGGCUUGGGUCCAGCCUUUCUCGCCUAUUCCUGGCCCCGCCCGAAGCGGGGUGGGGAGUUUGGGUGUCCGGGCCUCGGUGAUCGCUCCCGGCAGCCGGCAGAGGGAUGCCGGGGGGUUGGUCUCAGUGGAGUGGCUGUGAUUAGCGUGGGCUAGGAGAUAAUUCCUCCCUCUUCUUGGACUCCAAAGUGCUUUCUUAGGCCCUUGGCUCGGGCGCACUUCAGAGCCAACCCCUGUUUCCUGAUUCAUCUCCGUUUGGGGGGAAAAGUGGCUGCCAAGUCACGGAAGUGGCGGUGGCUGGAGGCCGCAGGCCCCGAGAUUUGUCUUGACUUUGUUGUCCGCCUGGGCAGAGCCCGGAAGGCCUUGAGGCUUUCACCUCCAGGACUGAGCCCCAGCAGCCGAGAGAGAAAAGUGCCUGAUGCCGAACGGGACCUGCCCUGGGGAGGCUCACUGCAGCUAGAAUUUAGAAUCCUGACUCACCCUUCAGCCAGCCACAAGGAAUGCUGAUUAUUCUGGAGCAGAAGCCAUGCUUCUGCAGUCCUGGCCAUAAAGCUGUGGAUUGUAUGACCUGGCAUGGCUGGUGCUGCCCGGCUGAGAUCACUGAGUUAUCUUUCCCAUCUGCAGAGUCCUGGCUGGGGUGCCAGGCCAACAAGCACAUGAAAAGAUGUGCUUACACGGAAUCAGUCUGCAUAGCCCAGUGAACAAUUCCAAAUUUGGCUCUCAUUUCGAUAAAUUACCUUAUAAAACAUUCACA